GAACAAGCGGAGGAGGAGCGGCCCGUCCUCUGCAGCCAGGCGGGGCCGCGCUACCGGUGGCGCUUGGAGAUUAUACCACUUCCCAAAUCAAGAAUGAGCCGAGCCAAACCAAACCGAGCAGGGUAUCUGAGCUCCACCGAGGGGAAGCCAAAUCCAAGCAAACUAGAAGAACCCAGAGCCAUAUUCAAGCUCCCCCAAUCUCGAGGAACUCAGUGGAGUUGCGGGUCCCGUAAAUCCUAGCUGCAGC